UAGUCCACGCCCUAAACGAUGUCAAUUAGCUGUUGGGGUGCUUGACACCUUAGUAGCGUAGCUAACGCGUGAAAUUGACCGCCUGGGGAGUACGGUCGCAAGAUUAAAACUCAAAGGAAUUGACGGGGACCCGCACAAGCGGUGGAUGAUGUGGAUUAAUUCGAUGCAACGCGAAGAACCUUACCUGGUCUUGACAUGUACGGAAGGCUUUAGAGAUAGAGCUGUGCCUUCGGGAACCGUAACAC
rnacentral:rRNA from 1 species